rnacentral:rRNA from 1 species
CCCUUAGAUGUUCGGGGCCGCACGCGCGCUACAAUGAGUCGAUCAACGUGCGUAUAUUUCCAAGGCCGAAAGGUCGAGGUAAUCCGUUGAACCCGACUCGUGCUAGGGAUAGGGACUUGUAAUUGUUUCCCUUGAACGAGGAAUUCCCAGUAAGCGCAAGUCAUCAGCUUGCGUUGAUUACGUCCCUGCCCUUUGUACACACCGCCCGUCGCUACUACCGAUUGAGUGAUCCGGUGAACAAUUCAGACCGCUGAAGCAGAGCUCCAGGGCUACUGCUUUUCUGGGAAGCUUUGUGAACCUUAUUACUUAGAGGAAGGAGAAGUCGUAACA